rnacentral:rRNA from 1 species
GACGAACGCUGGCGGCGUGCCUAAUACAUGCAAGUUGAGCGAUGAAGAUUGGUGCUUGCACCAAUUUGAAGAGCAGCGAACGGGUGAGUAACGCGUGGGGAAUCUGCCUUUGAGCGGGGGACAACAUUUGGAAACGAAUGCUAAUACCGCAUAACAACUUUAAACAUAAGUUUUAAGUUUGAAAGAUGCAAUUGCAUCACUCAAAGAUGAUCCCGCGUUGUAUUAGCUAGUUGGUGAGGUAAAGGCUCACCAAGGCGAUGAUACAUAGCCGACCUGAGAGGGUAAUCGGCCACAUUGGGACUGAGACACGGCCCAAACUCCUACGGGAGGCAGCAGUAGGGAAUCUUCGGCAAUGGACGAAAGUCUGACCGAGCAACGCCGCGUGAGUGAAGAAGGGUUUCGGAUCGUAAAACUCUGUUGGUAGAGAAGAACGUUGGUGAGAGUGGAAAGCUCAUCAAGUGACGGUAACUACCCAGAAAGGGACGGCUAACUACGUG